AUUCCAUUCAUUUUCACUCCAAGAAAGUGCUAAGGCAAGAAAGUGCUCUCACUCUCUUCUCCCCUCUCCAUUUUCGUCCCUCCACAUCUCCCCCGCUCCCAAGACUCUUCUCCCACCAUUAUCACACUCCAUAGAAGCCCUUGAAGCCCCAAGAGAAGUAUCAAAGCAAGGGAAAGCAUGGGAAAACUAGGGCGUAAAGUUAGAGUGAAGGUUGUGCUUCGAGGGAAUUGGUUCACAGGACGGUACCACCGCUUAAGAUCACCUCUCUUCCGCACUGAGGAUCAGGUUGAGCAGUGGCUGAUGGAGAUGAAGUGAAGAGCGAAGCUUUUGUCAUAGGUUAAAUGAAUGAACUCUUGGAUACAUGUCUUCAUACAUGUAAUCAGAUUAUGUUAUUCCGCUGCGUACUCUUAGGUCUUAUGUUCUUUCAGUUAAGCCAGUUUUAUCUGAACCUACAAGCCUGUUCGAGUCUUGUGACUAAACAU